CGUGUACUAAAGAAAAUAGAAGCAAACCUCUAAGUGUUUUGUCUUUAUGCUUCUUCGUUGUCGUUUUUCUAUUUCUCGAUUUGUUCUUCUUCUCCAUCGCCGAUUUGAGUUCACGACGGAAGCUGCCUCCUUCACAUUGACUCGGACUUGGUCUUUGCUAUCUCUUUCUCUGAUUGUCACUGAUUUCUCUGAUUCCAAUCUUUGUCGAACACGCUUUUAAUCAAUUGCUAAAUUUAUGUUCUUCGUCGCCGUGAUACCAACCUUCGACGACUGUGUUGUUCAUCCCAUCGCUCUCUCUACCAAUCUGAGCAGAAGGUUUUCGAUUAGAUGGUGGCCGAUUCAAUGAGAUUCAAAACAAGAGCCUACGAAAAAAAGAACGAUCAUGCAUUGGUAUGUAUAUGCUUUCUUGAGUUGCCAGAGUUUAUGCAGGAGGUUUUUUCUAUGUGAUAAGUUCCCUUAACUGAUAAAUAAAGAUGAAUCGGCAUCUCUCUUGGCUGAUUUUAAUUACUGAUAGGUUUCAGCGAUGGAAAUAGAACACUUUCUUCAUCUGCAUAACGAAAUGCUCCCCCUUGUAUCGUCUAUAUUCAACAAAUUGGUGGGUCUGCAGUUUCACGUUUUAGUUUUCGCAUAGGUUCUAUACUAUAUCUUAAAAGGUUUAGCUAUGAAGAUUUUUAGACAUAGUUGCCUUUUAGAAUUUAACCUCAUUAUAAAGAAAGGUGAAAUUCAGUUGCACAAAUUCAUGUUUUGGAACCACCAUGUCCUCGAAUUAUCAGCUCAACUAUGGUGUCUGUGCUUCUUGGUUGCUGAAUACCCAUUCAUUUUAUGAUAUGUCUUUAAUAUGUCUUAUACAAUUUAACCUCUAUUUAUUUUUUUUUAUUUCGUGCACCACUUUUGUUUGGCAUCUCUAAGUUACAACCAUCUUAUGAUCCAAUUGCGUCCAAUAAGGGAAAGACCAAUCAGUUUUGUCAUCCAGAUUCGAGAAUCGAGCUAUAAAUGUUUCAAUGCAAGUAAUCGAGCUAUAAAUUUAGUCAUAUGUUUAGCUAUAAAUGUUUGUGGUGUUGGAAAGGUUAUCUAAAUUCUCUUAUUUAGUUUUUGGUUCUCUGUUUCAGAGGUUGCAGAGGUUAUUUUGUUUUUGGUUCUCUUAUUCUCUUACAUGUGGUGUUUUUAGUUAUGUUGUUGUAGAGGUUUUACGAGCUUGUUUAUGGUCAGAUCACUUUUGAUGGAGUUGAGUUCAAGACAUUUCAAGUGAUAUGGUUUAGAAAACAAAGCGGAUUGGUGUGUUAAGAAUCUGUUUUGUUCAAUGAAACAAUCAGAGCAAACAUUACUUAUGGUAAAGGAGGAGAUGCUACUGAAAUCAAAUCGUAUUUGCAGCUGACCUAUCUUACGCUCAUGGCUUCAUUGUGGCCUACAAUAGGUAACAUAAACCGGAAUAAUCGAACCUAAUAAACAGAUUGUCUAGCCC